rnacentral:lncRNA from 1 species
CUGCACUUGGCAAGGGCAGAGUGGCAGAGUAGACUUGCCUACCAGCGAAGCCAGACAGCCUUUGGUUCCAAUCUUAGUACUACCACUUUUCAGCUGAGGAACCCCAGCAAAUUGUGAGGCCCCCGAGCCUCAGUUUUCUUAUCUGUAGAAUGGGGAUAAUGAUGCUCUCCUCAUAGGAUUGCUUAGCGCUGGGUAGGUCCUUAAGGAAUGUCCAUUGCACUCCCAUCCCUCUACAGCUUCCCCCAGAUUCUGUCCUCUUAGGAGGCAUGGGUGUCACUGGAACAUGAGGAAGAAUUCCCUGGAUCCUUUUUUCCCUUUCCUCACACAGAAGCCAAACCUCAAAUACACAUCUUCCCUCUCUGUCCACACCCACAGCAGCAAAGAGGAGAGCCAGGGAUCUGGGGGUGGGGGUGGGGGCCCAUCUUCCUCCUCUCAGUGGGUGGGGGCUCGCAGGCUGACUGGCAGAGGACCUUCACUGGAGUCAAAAUAAACUGCCUUCCUGGGGAGGGGAUAGAGGGCGAGAGAAGCCGCAGGUAUUGUUUUGUGGGGGAGGGGGGUCCUCUUCCUAUUCCAUUUCACUGAAUUCUUCCCACCCGGCAUGGCCCUGGGAGGUGACCAUAGCCCUGGCUCCCCGAGUAAACACCCAGGUCAAGCUACAGGACUGACUGGGUCUUAAGCUAUUAUACUCCCAGUGAAAAGAUUUUUUUAGCCCGAGGACUAUCUCGAACUCGUUCUAUCUCAGUGAAUGACUCACUGGAAACGGUGUAAACACAGGUGUAUUACUGGCCUGCGGAAGACUUGGAUGUCCCAGCAUGGUAGAAGGCCAGGUCCCUGCAGUGCAACGCUUGCAUUCUACAUCCAGAAAACUAAAGUUCAAAGAGGUUAAGCAAUUUGCCAGAAUCCUGCAGUCCAGGGACUGAGCGGAACCUGGAAUCCGCCACCGGGACUUCCAGCCCUGCUCCCUCCGGCGCCACCCUCUUCCCAGAGGUAGGGAGAGCUGAGGCUCGCUGUGCUCACGUGGCUUUCAGAGCCCGCCUCGGACCCUGACCUGUAUUCCACUCCCGACCCCACACUUCCUCGUUUCCCCUUCCUUCUCCCUCUCUUCCCAGGGUCCCGCAGGGCCGGCUGGAUGAAGUGAUGCCGGGCACCUAUACACGCAUGAUGGCAAAAGGAGGAUUGCAACGCCAGAGCUCGCCCCUCCAGAGCUGUGCAGGGUCCCCACCGAGGAGGGGGUGCAAACGGGUGCUGGGCUCGGGGGUCAGCCCGCGCCAAGUCUGGGGCUGGGGGCGGAGCCUGCCGGUCCGG